CUUCUUUACCCUAGAAAACAACUCUUCAUUUUUCUCUCUGUCUUCCUUGUUAACUAAUAGUAACAUACUUUGAACUCUGCGAACCCUUUUCAGUUUCCAUGGACGUGGUAACUAAUUAAGAUUAGUAAAUUUGACGUCGACGUAAAAGGAAUGCUAGGCAGAAGAUCGAGAUGCCAGAGUCCUGACUGAAACAAUAAGCACAGUACAGCGGGCAAAAGUAAAAAGAAAAUUUUGCGUUCUACAUAUCAGAUAUCAGAUAAUUUUAUUGAACUGAUUCUCAAACACAAAUUCUACUAUACUUCGAUGUAUUAUAUACAUCAGUAGAAAUUCUCACUCCUCAUAUAAUCAGAUACCCUUUAGAGUUAGAAAAGUGAUUUGAAAUUAUUUUCGUAAUUAUUAUAAAUUAUAAUAAUAUUUUUCAAUUGUAAUAGUGUAGGUUUUCUACUUAAAUAACUCUAUAUAUAUUAUAAUAUUUAUUACCCAUCAAUACAGGAGGUAAUAUUUUCACACAACAAUACAAGGAGUUAUAUUACAAUAUACACUAGAAUGUAGCCUACACAAUAUGUGCUUGUGAUUAAAAAGAAAAAAAGGGUUUAGGAGAUGGAAGGAAGAAUAGAAAAAUAAAAUCAACAAAAUUUUGUUUAUGCGAAAUUACAUUACUGCUUAUGUUUUUAUUUUGUGAUAAAAUACCAAAUUGUCUCUCCACUUGUUUUUUGUUGACAAAAAGAGUUUUGUUAAUAUGUAGGAAUUAUACACAAAUUACAAUUAGAAAUAUAUACCCUACAAUACAUAUAAUAAUUACGAAUUAAUUUCCUCUAGUCUAACAUUUCUCAAGUAGCGCUAUUAUUGUAGCAAAUAUUCACAUUAUAUUGAUAUCGUCCCAAGCUGCUAUUAUCCAACAUAUCGGUAACUAGUAUCAUAUAAUCUUGGUAUGACAUAAAUAAAGUUUAUUACGAUAAUCGAUUUGCUACGGUAAUAGUGUUAAAUAAAAAGAUUGAACAUUGAGAAGUAGAAAUUGUAAACAAUUUUGAAUGGUAUAAAUCAAAUCAAAUGUUAUUAACUGCAAAGAAUCUUGAGCAAAGAUAAUAAAAUUCCUGAGAAAGUGGUUCGACAUCGGCAUACUGGUCGCACUUGCCUUCCUUCAUGAGCUUCUCAAUGUACUUCAUCCAUGUGGUGCAGUCGUUGGUUGUGUGCCCCAGAACUCUAUGGAAUGCACAGAACUUUGUCUAGUCCAUCUUGGAGGUGUCUCCUGUGAAGCCAAAAAUAAUCACAAAGCGACACGUGGAUUUUUGGGUGAAGAUGACAAAUUUACCCUCGAGGCAUACCGGGUCUCCUACACGCGAGCAAUGGAGAAUCAUCCAUCAACCAAAUCAGGAGUACCCAAAAUAGGUAACAAGUUCAAAUUUGUCUCAUCCAUCCUCAUUCCAUAACCUCCAAAAACCUCCAAAAACAUUUCUUUUAUUAUGAUAAUUAGCCAAUUAAUAUAUUUAUACCUAAUUAAUAUAUUAAUUGCUAAUUGAAUCACCAAAUAACACCUCAUUCCCUAUAUAUAUGACCCUAUUUCUUCUAAAAAGCUAAGUUGAUACUCUUGCAAAACUCCCAAAAAUCCUCUAAACAUUUUUUCUCUCUAAAUUCUAACUUUGGCAUCGGAGGUUCUUCGGCCAAAGCCCCCCCCAUUCAUCGUGGGCGCAUGAGGUUCUUGGCCUUGACCAAAGGUGUUGAUUGUUUUGUAGGUGCAAUUUUAUCCAAGAAGAAGAAGGCGGAAAUUUGCAUCCACAAGUUGGUGCUUUCAUUGAGAGUUGAGAUUCACACUCGUAGAAGACUUUCGCACAAAAAGGUUUUUUCUCUAUUUUCUCUAUUUACUAGUUCAUUUGUAUUUUUCAUACGUUCUUAUUAUUAGAAAUUUUUAUUUGCAAAGAUUCUUUGAUAAAAUGUGAUAGAGAAAUACAAUGGUUAGAAAUUUAGAAAAUUCCACAAGUGAAAAUUCCAAUAUUCAAGAAAUGGGACCGCGGCGAUCCACAAGACUAAAUGUGAUCUUAGGGGAAGCAGCACCGCCACCACAAGGCUCAACCCUGGCAACCACCGCGGUGGCCACCAUGGCAAUCACCCACGGCGAGGUCCAUGACUCUACCACCACGGCCUGAGCCAUGUCACUCCAUGCCCAAUGCAAGCCCUAUGCGUUGCCAAGCCGAGCUCAAGCCUCGCAUUCGCGAGCAUCACACGCCGAGCAGCCUGCUCCCGACGAGCAGUCCACUCCCAUGGCAUAGCCUGCUCUCGUGGCCCAGCCUGCUCCAGCCGAGCAGCCCACUCUUGUGGCCCAGCCUGCUCCCGACGAGCAGCCCAUUCCCAUGGCCCAGCCUGCUCCCAUUGAGCAGCCUACUCUCGUGGCCUAGCCUGCUCCCGAUGAGCAGUCCACUCCCAUGGCCCAGCCUACUCCAGCCGAGCAGCCCACUCUCGUAGCCCAAAUCAGUCUAAGAUUAGUUCAACCAUCCCGGUUUCAAAUUUUUGGGCUUACAAUCGAACCAGGGGCAUUCUCACCACAUUUCUCCGCGGAUUUGACAUUUCCCAACUCAAAUCUCACUCUCGGAGUCUACCACAUUUCCACUGCUUAAGGAGGCACAUUCCUUCCAAGCUUUUCCAAUCCAAAUGGUGAACAACACUUGUCUCGACAAGUCAUAGAGUUAACAAGCGCCCUAGCACAGCAAACGACCUUGGUAAACCAGCUCUUGCAGCACACCAAGAUGCAACAUGCCCCAAACGAGGUGUCCCAAAGUAGGACAAUGGCAGAUGAAGAACCUCUCCAACAGCAUCCCAGCAAGCAGCCACUCGACCAUCCACGAACCUAGCGUUUGAGCAGAGUACACUCCCGAUUUGGCCCCCGAGAUAGCGUAUACUCUCAUCUUAGCGCAUAGAGGAGCGUGCAUUAUCGACUAAGCCCACGGACGAGCAUACACUCACGGUUGAGGAUGUACUCCGAUAAUCAACAUGAGUAGCCUUCCAAGCGAAGUAUUCAUUCACAGCUAGGCCCGCAAGGAUUAUCCUCCACAUUACAUCGAAGCGGCAGCACAGCAGACGGAAAGAAGCAGUCAUUCAAUCCGGCUCAAGUUCAACCAGCAGCCUAUGAGUUACAUGCUCGCCUGCUAGUAACAUACCACACCCACCGCAGCCGCGACAUAGACGAGCCAAACAUAUGGAAUAACAGCUUAGACCAACACAUCACGAUCGGGUAAGCCUCAAAAGGGUCUACUCUCCAAUACGAGAGGAUAAACUAAUUGCUCUCCAGUGCAAGAGGGUAAACCAAUUCCCCGACACCCAAAACGGUCUGCUCUCCAAUGCGAGAGGAUAAACUAAUUGGUCUCCAGUGCGAAAGGGUAAACUAAUUCUCCGACACCCAAAAGGGUAUGCUCUCUAGUGCGAGAGGAUAAACUAAUUGCUCUCCAGGGUAAACCAAUUCCCCAACACCCAUAUGGGUUUACUCUCUAGUACGAGAGGAUAAACUAAUUGCUCUCCAGUGCGAAAGGGUAAACCAAUUCCCCGACACCCAUAUGGGUUUGCUAUCCAGUGCGAGAGGGUAAACUAAUUGCCCUCCAGUGUGAGAGGCUAAACUAAUUGCUCUCCAGUGCGAGAGGGUAAACUAAUUCCCUAACACCCAUCUGGGUAAGCUAUUCAGUGCGAGAAGGCCACAUAGCUUAAAAGAUCAAAUGCUUGAAGAUCAACUAGGCAACAAAUGGUCAAGGGCAGCAGCCACUUUUGCACUUAACAGUUCACUCAUCCGACACUUUAUCUUCAAUAGCUCCGAUCUUGGCAGCUUUAUCAUUGACUACUCCAUCUACGGCAGCGGAGAAAUCAAACUCAAGCAGUUUUCUCAUUUUUGGCAAACAGCCCAAACAUGGCAACCUAAACCGUUGCCCAUGCCACACCACUUCCUCGGCCUAUGCCGAGCUAAUCCUUGGCUUUAAUCAAGUCGAACAGCACAAACAAUGGCCCUUGCCACACCACCUUCUUGGCAUAUGCCAAGCCGACUCCUGGCCCAUGCCAGCCAACGUGCUGCACCACCCCGACGGCUGCCCCGCAAUAGCACUAUCCAAGAAGAAGGUAAGAAAAAAUGAAGUUUUUAUUACAUUGGUGUGGCACGGAGAAGACGAAGAAAGCUACGAAAGACGGUCCUUUGCACGGGCAAGAUGUAGAAGAUUGCUAGAGAAUGGGGAACAAAUAUCCUCUAAGCUCUCUUUCUCUUGUAGGGUAGAAUAAAUCACUCUCCAAAGUUGAUUUAAUAACCCACUUAAGGUGGACUUAAAUAGGUUUUGAGAGAAAUUUAUUUCCUUUUCCUAGAAGGAUCUAAUUUCAUAUUAAAGAGGGAAUCUACAUCAAAACAGGAAGCAGUCCUAAGUUUCCUAGAGCAAGAAGAUCUCUACACCUGCUGCACUUUCCUACGAGCAGCCCAGCAGGUGUGGGGGCCUUUGUGGAGCCAAAAAUAAUCACAAAGCGACACGUAAAUUUUUGGGUGAAGAUGACAAAUUUACCCUCGAGGCAUACCGGGUCUCCUACACGCGAGCAGUGGAGAAUCAUCCAUCAACCAAAUCAGGAGUACCCAAAAUAGGUAACAAGUACAAAUUUGUCUCAUCUAUCCUCAUUCUAUAACCUCCAAAAACCUCCCAAAACAUUUCUUUUAUUAUGAUAAUUAGCCAAUUAAUAUAUUUAUACCUAAUUAAUAUAUUAAUUGCUAAUUGAAUCACCAAAUAACACCUCAUUCCCUAUAUAUAUGACCCUAUUUCUUCUAAAAAACUAAGUUGAUACUCUUGCAAAACUCCCAAAAAUCCUCUAAACAUUUUUUCUCUCUAAAUUCUAACUUUGGCAUUGGAGGUUCUUUGGCCAAAGCCCCCCCCCCAUUCAUCGUGGACACGUGAGGUUCUUGGCCUUGACCAAAGGUGUUGAUUGUUUUGUAGGUGCAAUUUUGUCCAAGAAGAAGAAGGCGGAAAUUUGCAUCCACAUCUCCCCUCAUGGGUGGCGGCAUCUUGAACCAUGGCUUGUCUCUGAGGUCACGAAGGAUCUGGUUGAUCGGGACAAAUAACUUGGUGCAUGUCUUGGGUGUUGGGCCUCCCUUUGUCAGGGACCAAUCCCUGCGUCUACUUCCUGGCUUGUCCUUGUUCUAAAGAAGCUAUCACUCUCUCUGUCUCUGUGAUAUCCUUAGCUGCCUGUACAUAACAAAGUAUAAAACUUGCACCUCAAACGCACAAGCCAAAAGCAACUGUAGAAGUGCUUCCUUUCAGAUUGUCUUGCCUUAACUUGUCACAUUAACAUUAUUGCUCAAGAAACCAUUUUCAUACUUGAUGAAACUUGAAAGUAACAGAAGAGAUUAAAUUCCGUAUUUGUUGAAAUUUAGUCAGUGAGAGAGAGGAAUCUUGGUGACGGUGAAUGCAAAAGCCCUCUCAAAAAUUCAACUUCAAAAACAAGUACAAAUUUCCACAUUUGCUUCUUUUAUGCAGUUUUGGUGAAUUGGCAGAGUCAACCCUACAUUGCAUAUUUAAGGGUUGUGGUGGUGGAAAUAUCAUCUAAAACUUGAGGUCAUGAUUUAUAACCUUGCUUGGGAUUCGUUAUUGAUACUUUGAUUUGAUGAGUAUGGCCACGGCCUAGAGUAACUAGUUCAAUGUCCUUCCACUAACCUUGACUUAAUUAGCCUAUAAUAUCUUGCAAUUGCAUGCAUUCGGGGUGAUUCAUGUCAUUUGUUGUUAUCCACGCCCUAAUAAUGUGAUUAUGCAUUCCAAAAUUUAGAACUGGGGAAUUAAACCGGAAACGGUAACAGUACAUUGUAGAAAAACAUUGACAUCGAUUUCUUAAUACUUGGAAAUGGAGGAUUUUUCCAUGAAACAGAUACAUUGUCACCGUAGCAUCCCGUGCUACAAAAAUAUUUGUAAGUUUUCAUUCAGAUAUUGUUAUAUUAUUAGUAAAUGAGUUCAUAAUAAUGAUUUACUGGUGUCAUGUAAGUUGUUUAAAAAUAUAUAUAUAUAAAGAAAGGGUCGACUAAACUGGGCGUAAAUGGUCAAUUUGGUAACGUUUUGACCAAAGAAAUGGCCACGAUCUCUCGCACCCGAACUGAACUAGUUUGGACAUAAUUGAUCCAUGAAUUCAAAGUUAAAUAGUUCAACUAAGCUGAGACUGCGUGAUGAACACUCGCAGAAGACAAAAUGGAAAUGCUAAAAAUUCAUUCAAGUUGGGAGUCGGGAGUCGUAUCGAGCAUUCAUGCGUCCGUGUUGGUUUGGUUCAUCGAGUUUCUACUAUAUAUGUUUGAAUUUAAACAGAGGGGGUCGAGAGAAUGGACCACAUUUCUGUUGAAAUCAAAUCAUGCUAAUCUGUAGCUAUAAUGGACUCUAUAUAUGGAACGUUGGCUACAGUACCUGUCUGUCUCAAUCUCAUCUUUGUAAAGUCAUGGUGCUGAUAAGCAUGAAAGCAGUAAACUAUUAUUGUAUAUGUAUAAAGACAUUAUACAUAUACUAAAACUCUGUUUUUUUAGCACUGUUCAUUAACAGUGAAAGGCAAAAAUGCCCUCGGUUGCUUCUUUGUUAGUUGUAAUGUUGCCUACUUUCUACAAUGAAUUGUUGGUUUUGCCCAUGAUAGCCAUAAUCAUUGUUUAUCUCGAUGCUUCGAUUCUGUCUUCUUCGCUUUACCUUUCAAAUUGGUUUUGUCCCUCAUGAAUCUCUGCUUUUGUCCGUCUUCAUCUCGCUCUCUUCCUCUCAAAUCAUGUGUUCUUUUUUUCGCAAAAUAGUCACGAGUAAAUUUGGUUUUCAUUUAUAUGGGGAUGAUGUUUCUAGUCUCCAUUUCCAGAAUAGUCUUGCAUAUCUGUAAAUAUUAGACUAGAAAAAAAAAACAAAAAACAAAAAAGUUAGCAUUCAGUCUUUAGCUACUAAUGUUCUUUAAUUGAGGUCUUACUAGUUUUCAAAUUUUUAUCGAAGUCUCUAAUGUAUUAAUGAAUUUACAUGUUAGUUACAUAAUUUCUUAAAAUAAACAUUGGUGAUUGAUUUAGGGUUUUAAUACUCACAAAUACAUUAAUCUCCUAAUUAAUAUUCAAUUUAAAACAUUUCCAAAAUUAUAAAAUAAAAUAAAAUAAGUUUGUGCUUGUUGCAUAUUAGAUUAGGAAUGUAAUUGUACAAAUCCUAAAGUAUUUGGGAUAUCCUUAGAAGAUUCUCUAGGGUUAGAUGUUAUCCUAAUAGAGUUGUAAUCCUAUUAAGGUCAAGAAUUUACCUUCCCUACUACUAAUAGAGUUUUUAUCCUAUUAGGGUUAAAUGAGGUGAUAAACACACACCUCACAAUACACAUCUCUCUCAUCUCUCUUCUCUCUUUAUGCAGUCGGCCCCUCUCUCCCUAUCUUUAUUAUAUUUCAGUAAAUUAGGCUUACAACAGUACUCAUUAAUUUUAAAAACAAUUACAUUAUCCAAAUUAUAAAACUAUAUUUUGGACAGAAACCAAGGAUUUGAUUUAUUUCAAAGAGUGACAAAAUUUAUUCAUAUGCACGUAAAUGAUGUUAUGGUUGUUUUUCUAAUUGCUUUUUGCAUUUAUAAUUUUACCCCUUUAUAAUUGAAAAUGAGUCAUUAUGUAUUGUUUCUUUCUCUCUCCUCUUAUUUCUUCUUUGUCUUUUUUCUCUCUACCUUCUCAUUCUCACUCAUGUCUCUGUCCCCUCCCUCCUCCUUAGAGCACUUUCACCCCUCUCAAGUUCCCUAGGGGAUAGUGAAUUAAAUCCCUUCCCUUCCCCCAAAACUCCUCCACCCCAUUCCAAUCCACUAGGCUUGGGGAGCCUAGUUGAUCACCUAGGCAAAAAUCGACUAGCCUAGCCUCUAGGCCAUGUGACGUAAGUUGACAUCAGCAACAAUUAAAAAAUUAAUAACAAAAUAUAAAAAAUACAUAAAAUACAUAAAAUUUAAUUUUAAAAUUAAAAAAAUAUAUUUCAAUAUUUUCAAAUACUUUCAACCAAUCUUUUUUUAUCAUCCGAAAUUAAAAAUAAAAUUAUCUUUCAUUAUUUUAUAAAAAAAAAUUAAUAAUAUUUUGAUACGAAUUGUCUGAGCUAUUCAAUUUAGAGGUGGAAAUGCACUUGGGUUGUUACUGUUCACUAAAGUCAAUUACCAUUCACUUGGGGGGACUGAAUUGCUUAUUGCCCUAGGGGCUUUUUGGGGUGGAAAUGCUCUUAUCUCUCUCAUCCUUCUUCUUUGUCCAUCUCUCUCCUAUUUUUUCUUCAUACUUCUCAAUCCCUCCUCUUCGUCUCCGUAUUGUUUCCUAGAUUUAUGAGUUUUUCUUUUCUUUUCUAAGAAUGAUUGAGAUUUUUUAUUAUUGGUUUUUUAUUUCAAUAAUUUUUUUUAAGUAUUUGAUUUGGAGGUUUUGAUUAAUUUGAAUGCAUGAAUUUUGAAACUAAUCUUGCAAAAUUACAAAAAAUUUGAAACUAAUCUUGUAGAAACGCUGAAAUUUUGAAACUGAUUUUGCAGAAGUGUUAAAAAUUUUGAAACUAAUAUUGCAUAAGUGCUAGAAUUUUGAAACUGAUCUUGCAGAAGUGCUGGAAUUAUGAAAUUGGUCUUGCAGAAGUAUUGAAAUUUUGAAACUGAUGCAUGAGCUAAAAUGUUUCAAACUGAUUUUUGCAACAGUGCUUAAAUUUUGGAAAUGCUUAAAUAUUGAAACUGAUCUUGCACUAGGAUUUUAAAAUUGAUCUUGCACUAGAGUUUUAUAACUGAUCUUGCACUGGAAUUUUGAAACUGAUCUUGCACUAUAAUUAUGAAAUUUGAUCUUACAGAAGUGCAAAAAAUUCUAAAACUAAUCUUGCAGAAACGCAUGAAUUGUGAAACUAAUCUUAUUGAAGCUAACGUUUACAAAUCCCAAAUCAGUUUGAAGUUUUUAUAUAUGGUGUUAGUGUGUAGUUUUGGUUAAUUAAGUACAAGUCUUUGUCUAUUAGGGGCAUGGCUAAAAAUUUUAAAUCUUGGUUUGCUUGUUUUUUGGUCUCAGUUUGUUGGGGUUUGAGUUUUUGUCUAUCCUUGAAAAUAAUUCAAAAUAAUUCAAAAUUAGUGGGAUUCUAUAAAAUGUAUUUUGUGUGUUUUCUAUAGGUAAAGCUCCCUUAAGUUUAUAUAAAAUUAUUUUUAACUUUAAUCUUAAAUGAACCAUUUUGUAUAAUUUUUUAACCUUAAGUGUACUACUUUUUUUUUUUUUUGAAUAAACGAUAUUAUAUACACUAAGGGGGAAGGGGAAGGGGUGGACUUAGCCUCACAAUGGGCUAACAAUAAUGUGUUCAAAUUCACCUUUGGCGAGAAUUGAACCUAAGACAUCUCACUUACAAGUGAAGAGGAAGUGUACUACUUCUUAAAUAUACUAAUUUGUUAUAAUGUGCAAUGUAGCCUUUAUUUUUAUGUAAAACCCGUUCACUUUUUUUCUAAUCUAUUUUUUUAAGUUAUAUGGGUACGUUCUUUUUCAUUGAUUUGAGAAUGUAACUAUGUCAAGUUUAUUUAAAGAAAUUUACAACUGUUAUUAAGACUAAUAUUUUUUUUUUUUUGUGGUUUUGAAAAAUGUACCCCUGUUUUGGGUCUGAAGAAUCUACCACACGUUUUAUGGUAAUAUUAUUUUUUUAUUAAUUUUGAUGAAUGUACCCUAUAUGUUUUAUAUAUAUGUAUAGUAUACAAUAUGUUUUAUAUAGUAUACAAUAAGUUUUAUAUAUAUGUACAUGCAUUGUAUGGCAAAACAUGAUAUUUUAUAUAUAGUAUACAAUAUGUUUUUUAUAUAUGUACAUACAUUGUAUGGCAAAACAUGAUCUAUUUUUUUUAUUGAUUUUGCUUUCACGGUGGGGAGGAUAAUUUAUCUUUAUCAUUUUCAAUCCCACAAUUAUGGGUUUUAUUUAGAAUCUCAUUAAUAUAAGCAACUACAAAUUUCAAUUUUCAAGUUCAAAUAUAAUAACCGACAUGGAAAUACAUUAAUACAUUAAUGUAAGGAACUUCAAUAAAAAUUGAAACCCAAUAAAGUUUUAGUCAAAGUAUAUCAAUAGCUAGGGACCGCAUUUAAAAUCUCCCAAAAAAAAAUUAGAAAAAUAAGAUUAGACACAAUCAGGAUCCAAAGGAAGAGCUUUGAGCAUAUAUACUGAAAUCUUAUUCAUAACACAAUUCAUAAGUCUGAUAGGAGAUAAAGAAAUUAUCUAAACUUGUUGACUUGAGCUUACUCAAGUUGACUAUAGCAAUAUCAGUGUAUUUUUCUCAAUGCACCUAAGUUUGAAUAUCUCUCUUUGUGGUUUAGAUUAUCCUAUUGUUUGUCAUAAAUUAUCUAAUUGUAGCUAUCUUGGUAACUACGUUCCUUUGAUGAGUUAUUUGCAUUAAUUCUGAGUUUUGUAUAUGCCUCUUUGAAAUCUAAGAGUAAAAUGAAUAAUGCUCCAGCCAAACCGAAGUUUCUCUUGUAAAAAAUUUAAUAGGUAACCUUAUCAUAAAUAACUUAGCACCAACUCCCCCAAGAAGAGGAGGGGGAAUUUUUGCAUUCAAAGUUUAGCUUCCUACAGCCGAACUCCAACUAGCAUUUGCAUAACAAUUUAUAUCUAAAAUGUAUUCAAUUAAAACCAUGAUUCAGUUAGGGCUCUAAGGCCCAAUAAAAAACUAGUUGCAAAUGAGUCGGGCCUAAAUACUAUCUAAUCCAUGAUCAACAGAAGCAAGCCCACACUCAACAAAACUCAUGGCCCAAGGAAUUUUUUCACCUCGCCAAUACUCGUAUUCAAUUAAAUUUUUGAUGGAUUUAUAAAUUCAUGGACUUUAAUAGAGCUUAAUUGAUUUGUAGAGAUUUCAUGUAAAUUUGUGAUUUAAUUCCCUUGAAAUCUCAGGAGAAAGGUAAUAUUUGUGAAUGCUUAAAAUACACUACGAAAUCGAAAUCUCUCUAAUUGCCUCAAAUUCUUCAACUUUUUAAAAAAAAAUAUUAAUUGAAUACACCUUGAUCGUUAAACUUCUUUAAAUAUACCCACACUUAUAAUGAUUUCAAUAAUAUAUUUUAAAAUAUUGAUUGAAUACACAUUGAAUUUCAAAAAAAAUCACAUAAAAUUCUGAUUGAAUACUCUAGAUUUAUUAAAGAACCUCAAAAUUCCAAUUGAAUGCACCCCCUCCCCCUUAGGUUCGUCUUUCUUUCUUCUCCUCCUUCGUCUUUCUCUCUCCUACCUACUUCUUCCUAUUAUUUUCCUAGAUUUAUGAGUGUUUUUUUUCAUUAUAAGAACCAUUGGAAUUUUUAUUUUUGAUUCUAGUAUUUCUUGAAGGUUUUCUUAUUUUGAAGUUUUGAUGAUUUGGAUGUGUGAAUUUUGAAAUUGAUUUUACAAAAAUGCAAAAAUUUUGAAACUGAUCUUGCAUAAGUGCUAGAAUUUUGAAAUUGAUCUUCCAAAAAUACAAGAAUUUUGAAACUGACCUUGCAGGAGUGCUGAAAUUUUGAAGUUGAUCUUCCAAAAAUACAGGAAUUUUGAAAUUGACCUUGCAGAAUUGCUAGAGUUUUGAAACUGAUAUUACAAAAAGUGCACGUAUACUAGAAUUGUGAAAGAUCUUGAAAAGUACAAAAAAAAAAAAUUUAAAAUUAAGUUGAUCUUGCAAAAGUGCAUGUUGUGAAAGAUCUUGCAGAAGUGCAAAAAAUUUUGAAAUUGAUCUUGCAAAAAAUAGUUUUUACGGAUUGAAAAUAAGUUUGAAGUAGGACUCUGUUUCAGAUGGAACGGAUCGUAAACAAGAGUUCCAAAUUCCAUCCCGAAAUGUUUGGAAUUUAAUUUAGCUUCCAAUUCCGACCCAAAAUUUUUCAAAUUUAAUAUUAGCUUCCGAUUCCAAUUCGACAUUUUUCAGAAAUUAACUGAUUAUUCCAAAACGGAAUUCUUGGAGUUUAAUUUUAGCUUUCGUCCAAUUCGAAAAUUUGCAAAAUGAAAUGAUUAUUCCGGAUGUUAUGUCCGAAAAAUGAAAAUUUUCGAAAUUUCCAAAAAUCUAAAAGUGCUGCAGUCAUAUUUAGAAUAGGAAUGUGAUUGUGUAAAUCCUAUGGAAUCUGGGAAUGUAUCUUAUAUUCCUAUUAGGACUAGAUUACCUAUUAAAUGUUGUAAUCCUAAAAGGAAAUGUUUUACCAUUUCUACUACUAUAAAUAAAGGCAUAAUGAGGUGAAUCAAACAUACCUCACAAUUAAAUUAAUCUCUCUUCUCCCUAAAGUUUGCCGCACCCCUCUCUCUCUCUAACCCUAGAUCGCUCAAUCAAAUAGGCCUACAACAAAAAGUAAAUAAUUCUAAGUUGGGCCAAGCAUUUGCUUUCAUUUGUUUAACCACAAAAGGAACCGAAAGGCCUCGUUGCUUACCCCCCCCCCCCCCCCCCCCCCCCCCCCCCCCCCAAACAAAAAAAAAGCCCAAAAGGCUUGACAUCGGCUUCAAUUCAACGCCAUCGCUCGUUUCCUAAGGUGAACGAUGUGAGACAAAAGAAACUUGUCUAUUCUAGUUUAAUCUCAUACAAUGAAAACUAAGCAAAUCAUACGCAUAUUUGUAUUUUAGAAUUUCUAUAUCACUUUUUGAGUAGUAUAUUUCAUAUGUCAUGUUCAUGCUUAUAUUUUGGCUCCUUUUUUUUUUAGGUUUAUUGGGGUUUGGGUUUUUAUCUUCUUAAAAUGACUCAAUACUAGUAGAGUCCUCAUAAAUAUAUUUUGUGGUUUUUUGACUUUAUAAGUAAAGCUCCCUAUACUUUUACUCAGUGUUACUUUGCUUAUAGGUUGUCAUUUAAGACUAUGAUCUAGUGUCUAAUGUACUCUUCUUCACUUACAACUGAAAAAGUUUAGUUUUGAUUCUUGUGAAUGCCAAUUAGAUAAUGAUAAAUAUUAAGGAGACUCUACAAAAUGGAACUCUCUAUGGACUCUUAGUCACCUCAUAUUUUUAACACUAUGUUUUAUAAUGUUAGCACAAGAAUUAACGUUAAGAUAUGAGGUAACAAAGAGUUCAUGAAAAAAUCUCAUUUUAAGAGAAUCUCCUUGAUUCUCUUAGACAAUAGAAACCAAUUUAUUCAUCUACUAUUAAGUUAAAUAUAAAAAUAGACAAAUAAUCUAAAAUUACAUUAAUAAAACCCUCUUUGUAAAGGGACAAUUUUGUCUUCUACCACAAAACAAAAUAAUGGGCAGUAAAGUAAAUUCACACAAAUUAAAUUUUACAAUUUUUUUUUUCAAAACCUCACCCAAGGGUGAUCCUAAUAUCCUUUAAUUUUGAAAAAUCAAAUAUAACAGGGAAAAAUUCUCUCUCUAAUCCACAUUCCUUUUUCUCUCCUUCUCCUUCCCAUUUUAAAAUAAAAAUAAAAAUUAUUUCACACACAAAGUGUGGGACAUAUGCUAGUAAUGAAAUACUAGCCUCUCCACACGCACUAACGUGUAGGGCGUGCGAAAGGCAUUUUUGCAUCACGUGUAAUUGUCAAGAUAUACUUUAAAUAUAUUGUGCAAAGAGGAACUCUUUUUUCUAUCAUGCAUGUCCUAAAAAGUUAUCAUGUUUUUCGUUUUUACUUUGCGUAAAGUAAUGAUUUAAAAUAAUGAGAGAGAGAGUGAUUUCAGGAAUGGUGAGGGAGAGCACUGGAAGAUAUUUGUAAAGCCCUGAAAUUGAUUUUUCAGGAGAUGGAUUUCACAUUUUGAUAAAAAUCAAUCUCCACCUUCAUGCUCAUAGGCUUUCAGUCUCAUACCAAUUUUCAACUAACGCAAAAAUUCACAAAAAUGUGAAGGUCAAGUCAAUCUAUCCAAAAACUUAAAAAGUAAACUGUGAAAGGAAAACAUGCAGUUAUUCUAAUUUUAUUUCAAGAUUCGAAACACUGUAGAAAGCAAAUAAAAUUCAGAAAAAAAAUUUACAGAUACAUUUUUAAAUUAAAAAGUACCAGAGAGAGGUGGAAAGGAAGUGGAAGAACAGAGAUGGAGAUCGAUAUUGGUGGAUGGAGAUAUAAGGUUCAAUGUUUACCCCCAAAUCAUUUAUAAAAAAUUAAGAAAAAAGAAAAAGAAAUACAUACUGCUCGUGCUCCUCCUUUUUAAACUCUUUGAGAGUUAGCUUGCUGAAAUCAACAGUUUUCAAUCAAGAUCAACAAUCAAUCAAGGUUUUCUUCAAGCGAUUAUCUCACGAAAUUUUUAAAUUUGAAAGUGUAGCAUUACUGAGAGAAAUAGGUUUUAGUGUAAAAGAAAUCUCUAUUUGGUAGGCCCUCUCUAAAUCCAGUUCCUUAUAGCCUUGCAAAUGAGUUGUGGAGAUAAUUUUAGUGAAAAUUGGAAAGAUUAUGUAGUAUGCUCUUCAGAGAAGGAAAUCAGUGCAUGUAUAACAAAGUUCAAACCAACCACAUAUUAUGCAUGUAUUUAGUUCACAAAAGAAAUCAGUGCUGAUAUUGUUUACCAAGAUAUAAAACUGUGUACUUGCCCUCUAUCAGAUAAAGGCACUCAAAAUCAAAAGAUGAUGGUGAAUUGGUGAAGCAGAUGCUAAGAUUAGCAAUUGGAUUAGCUUUUGUUCUACAAUUGGUGAUGCAGGAAAACAAAGUGAUUGGAGUCAUACCCUUCCAAAUCAAGAGAAGCAAGUUGGCUAAAUUUAUCAUACAUUAAAGGCAUACCUUUCUGAAGUGUGGAAUCAGAGUCGGCAUUAAACUGGUAGUACCCUGAAAUAAAAUAUCAAAACAAAGUCGGCAUUAAACAGAGAUGCAGGAUAAAAAAAAUAUCUUGUACAAAGAGGACAUAUUCGUUCAUCUCAUGCUUCUGAAACCACACAACGAACUCCUGAAAACCAAACUUAGCCUCCUUCCGAUUACUCAUCUCUAAAUACUGGUGGUAUGCAAUUGCUUAGUGUUGAACCUCCCACCAAACACUAAUUAAAAAAAUCCAAAAAUUGCUCUUCAUAAGGGAGAAUAAUAAAAAAUAACUCACGCUUUUUUCCUUUUACUUUUGCUUCUCUUUUCUUCACCGACCUCCUCCUCUGCUUGUUCGUCUUCGAGUUUCAGUCUUGUUGUCUCAAUCUACAAAACCCAAAAUUGACUACAUUAAACACAAAACCCACCAAGAAAUUACCUCUAUAAAAAAUGCCACAAAAAAAACACAUUAAGCUCCACAUUCAAUCAUCAACCCAAAAACUUGAAAUCCCUCGAGAACUUGAACAACCCCCCCCCCCCAAAAAAAAACCAAGGAAAAUACAAAAAAUCUUAAGACAGUAUCGCAUAAAAAGAAAAUGGUUACCAGAUUGUCUUUGAGUGAGUGCGUGUUUUGCCUCAGUGCAAUCUUUGAGAGAGCAAGAGUGAUGGAAGCUACUAAGGACACAGAAGGAAAGAUAGAAAAAAAAAAGUGUGAAGAUGAUGGGACCAAAAAAAAAAUUGCAAUUGGAAAAAAUCUUGAAUCAAAAGUUGAAAUCAAAAGCUAAAUGGUAAGGAAAGUUGGGGUUAGGGAUUUGCACAAAAUGGAAAACUUACUUAAAUAUGGUGAUCAGAAGAGAGAAGGGAAGAUGAGCAAUAGCCAGGAGAUUGGGCUCUUGAAAGUGGGUGUCCGGGAUCGAAGGUGUGAAGAGGAUGGGCUCCAAGACGGCAUCUCGAAGUCUGGUUUCGAAAAUUAGGCUAUUUUCGAUUAUUCAUCUGUAUAUGGCAGUGGUAUGGGGGUAGUUAUUGUUGAACAUUCAACUGAACUCAGAUCGUGGGAAUCGUUAAACUACUCUCUGGUUUCAUCGUGGGAAUCGUCAAACUGUUCUCUGGUUUCGAUCGUGGGAAGUUGGAGUAGGACUGAUAACUAAACUGGCAACUGUCUUCCUUUUCACUUUCCAUUAGGUUUCAAAUUCUAUUGUUAAUGUUAUUACCUCUUUAUCCUUCUUUUGUUGAUUUACAUAGAGUCAUUAAGUAAGGGUAUUUUAGAGGUUAUCUAAUGCUUCACCAAACUAGCCUUCUCCCUUUAUAUAUAUAUAUAUAUAUAUAUAUAUAAGAAUGAUAAACGAUAACAAAUCCCGACCAGCCGCGUACACUAAGGGCGUGUUUACAUAAGGGGAAUGGAGUGAGUGGAAUGAGAAUUGCAUUCAUUCCAAGUGAUUCAUUUGUUUACUAACAUUGAGGGAAUGAAAUUGUAUGUGGGGCCCACCAAAAUAGGGAAUCAGAUCCCUGAUUUGCCUAGAAUCGGAUUACCAACCAAUAGGUGGUAUUUGGAUUCCUGAAGAAAGCCCUCAACUCGGAAUCAGUUUUUUCUGCCCAAUAAACCCUUAUCUCCGGUAACACAGCACCUUCAGGUUUCAGAUUCCAGCCGAAACAUCAACGUCAACACCUGUUAAACCAUUGGAUUAAUUCUCAUCACCCACCAUCACAAGGCACUAUUCGCCCUUCUCCUUCUCUAAGCUACUUUGCUACAUACAAACGCCAACUUUCACUGCACAGCCCUCCAAUCACAGCUCCGGCAAAUGGGUUUUCUCCCUUCAGACGAAUUUUCAACUCUUACCUCCAAUCUUGUAAGCUCCGCCAUCCCUGAUUUGUUAUUUAUCUUGCUCCGAUUACAAUAUUUUGCAUUUUUUAUUUCUGGGGUUUGUGCAUUCCGUCGAUAUUCUAAUACUCUUUGAACCGUUGAAUCGGUUUUAUAUCUAUUUUGAACAAAGUAUUUUAGUAAUCAAACUGGUUUUGAUUCCAAUUCAUGUGAAUUGGUAAACAGCUAAUAUAGAAUAUGCAUUAUUUGCAUUCUGAUUCUAUACAAUUUUAGUAAACAAUUUCAACAAGAAUCUGAUUCUAAUUUCAUCUCAUUCCAAUUUCUUCUCAAUUCAAUUUAUCUCAAUCUAAUUACGGAUUAAUAAAUGUACCAUAAAUACUAAACACCAAAUUUUAUUGUCGAAUCCCUAACCUAUCCUGUACACCCCGCGCCGCCCAGAUUCUAAAAUGUCCCGCGCCUCAUUUUUACACAAAACACCCUCACCUAUCAAACCGAACAAAGGGUAGUAGACCCCACUCAAAUCCCAUAUCAUCUAAAAUCCCACACCCACCUCAAUCUCCCUAACCCUACACCCUUGCACACCCAAAAGCUACUCCCACCCCACAAACCCGAAAUUUGAACAUUUUGAAUGGAGUAGUUCUUUACUUCUUUUCGUAUAUCUUUUUUUUAUCUUUCAAACAUUUUUGUUAAUUUUUAUUCAUUGAUUUUCUCAAUUUAUUAGAUUAAAAGGUCAAAAAUUAAGAAAUACGUAUGACAAGUAAAAGUAGAUGUAUAAAUAACACCAUCUUUUUUACUGUCCCUGAAAAAACAUGAGGUCCCAUUUAAUGAUUAUGAAGAUGACAUCAUUAAUAUGUCUCACUUUUAGUGUAAGUUAAUGAAAAAUAAAUGUGUUGUUAUUUAAGUGAAACAUUAACAGGUGAAGCCAUAAUUUGGAGUAUAAGGUAUUCCGCCAGUUAGAGCUUUUCGAUCCGGUCCAAUGGAUGCCCAAUUUUCUUUAGGAGGCAGAUUAUCUGCCUCCUGUUUGGGUGCUCUUCUAUGCUCUUAUAUUUUGUGCGAUCAUGAUUAAGCCAUGUUGAUAUUUUAUAUUAAUUUUUUUAUAGAGAUAUUAAGACAAAAAGCAAUAAAAAUAUAAAAUAUUGACGUAACUUAACCGUAACCGUACAAAUAAGAAAUGAUGGAAAUGACACCCAAACAGGAGCGCAAACAAUCUGCCUCCUUUUCUUUAACAACCGUUGGAUUAUAUGAAAGGGCCCUUGGUAACUGUGUAUUCAAUAUUCUAACUCUAAGGGCCCGGUUUGAUAUCCACAUCAUUUUCAAGUUUCAUUUUUUUUUAUUAAUUGAAGACGAAAAUCUUAUUUGAUAAACAGUGUGACAAACGAAACAGUUAUCAAAUAUACUAAAAUUUCAAAGAGUAAACUGUCGGUUUACCCCCUGAACUUUCACUUCACUUUCGAUUUCCCCCUUGAACUUUUCCAUUGGAAAAUUAAGGACUCAAACUAAUUUUUUUAGCCAAUUUGCCCCCUACCGUUAGUUUUUCAUAUAUUCCAUCCAUAUUUCCAUUAAGUGAGACCAUGUGCACAACAUGUGAGGGUAGUUAAGUUACUUCACUCUUAAAAAUGAUUAAAAAACUGAAAAUAAUAAAAAAAGCAAAACUUUCCCUCUAUUUUUUCCCGCUAAUUCAUAUCCUCGAUUUUAUUUUUCCUUCUCAUUCAUAUGCAUGAGAAAUGACAUAUGGUGUUAUUGUCUACCAUUUUUAUUUUCUCUAACAAAUUAAUAAUUUGACAAAUGCUAAUGGUGCUAUUGUCUCAAAAGCAGUGCAUUAAUAUAAGAAACCCUAGUCUUUUUUAUGGACAUGUUUCUUAUAUUAAUGCACUGCUUUGGAGACAAUAACACUAUGAGCAUUUGUCAAAUUAUUAAUUUGUUAGAGAAAAUAAAAAUGGUAGUACAUGCUUCAAAAAAAGAUUAACUUAGCUACUUAUGAAGACAAUAACACCAUAUGUUAUUUUUCAUGCAUAGGAAUGAAAGGGAAAAUUAAAAUUGAGGAUAGGAAUUAGCGGAAAAAAAUAGAGGAAAAAUUAUUAUUAUUAUUUAUUUUCAGUUUUUAAUCAUUUUUAAAUUGAAAUGACUUAACUAUCCUUACAUGUUAUGCACAUGGUCUCAUUUAACGGAAAUAUGGAUGGAAUAUAUGAAAAACUAACGGUAGGGGGUAAAUUGGCUAAAAAAUUAGUUUGAGUCCUUAAUUUUCCAAUAGAAAAGUUCAGGGGGAAAAUCGAAAGUGAGAUGAAAGUUCAGGGGGUAAACCGACAGUUUACCCAAUUUCAAAUAAUAACAUCGCAAAACGGUGUUACAUAAUUCUCUGAAGUACUAUAAAUUUUCAAAUAAUAACGCCGCGGAAAUUGGUGUCACCAGAAACGAGUUAAUACCUACGUUGAAGAAACCCAGCUGUAACCCAAUCAGCUGAGCCCUGCUCACUCACACCUCUCUUCACUCACAUGUGAACCUUGGCCCCCCCUCUGUCUCCAUCUAACCCCAAAAACAACUCAAAUCUACCUCUAGAUUUCUCUCACUAAAUACCCCUCCAAAAAACCUAUGAUUUUCUCUCUCUAGGUUUUCCAUGGCUUCUCCAACUCCUUUCACUCUCCUCCUCUGCUGCUUCCUCAUUUUUCUCCAUCUGGGUCCUCUCAUCCAAGCUCAAAUCGACGAAACCAGCUUGAAGCUAGUGACGGAGGGUCUGGACUGGCCGGCCGCCACAAUGUCGCUGCUGGACGACGAGCUCGAGGAGGCGGAUGACGAGGACGGCGAGGACUUGGAACUGGACGUGGAAAACGCGUACGCGCGCAGAUCUCUGUUCUGGAGG
rnacentral:lncRNA from 1 species